rnacentral:rRNA from 3 species
AGAGUUUGAUCAUGGCUCAGAUUGAACGCUGGCGGCAGGCCUAACACAUGCAAGUCGAACGGUAACAGGAAGCAGCUUGCUGCUUCGCUGACGAGUGGCGGACGGGUGAGUAAUGUCUGGGAAACUGCCUGAUGGAGGGGGAUAACUACUGGAAACGGUGGCUAAUACCGCAUAACGUCGCAAGACCAAAGAGGGGGACCUUCGGGCCUCUUGCCAUCAGAUGUGCCCAGAUGGGAUUAGCUUGUUGGUGAGGUAACGGCUCACCAAGGCGACGAUCCCUAGCUGGUCUGAGAGGAUGACCAGCCACACUGGAACUGAGACACGGUCCAGACUCCUACGGGAGGCAGCAGUGGGGAAUAUUGCACAAUGGGCGCAAGCCUGAUGCAGCCAUGCCGCGUGUAUGAAGAAGGCCUUCGGGUUGUAAAGUACUUUCAGCGGGGAGGAAGGUGUUGUGGUUAAUAACCGCAGCAAUUGACGUUACCCGCAGAAGAAGCACCGGCUAACUCCGUGCCAGCAGCCGCGGUAAUACGGAGGGUGCAAGCGUUAAUCGGAAUUACUGGGCGUAAAGCGCACGCAGGCGGUCUGUCAAGUCGGAUGUGAAAUCCCCGGGCUCAACCUGGGAACUGCAUUCGAAACUGGCAGGCUUGAGUCUUGUAGAGGGGGGUAGAAUUCCAGGUGUAGCGGUGAAAUGCGUAGAGAUCUGGAGGAAUACCGGUGGCGAAGGCGGCCCCCUGGACAAAGACUGACGCUCAGGUGCGAAAGCGUGGGGAGCAAACAGGAUUAGAUACCCUGGUAGUCCACGCCGUAAACGAUGUCUACUUGGAGGUUGUGCCCUUGAGGCGUGGCUUCCGGAGCUAACGCGUUAAGUAGACCGCCUGGGGAGUACGGCCGCAAGGUUAAAACUCAAAUGAAUUGACGGGGGCCCGCACAAGCGGUGGAGCAUGUGGUUUAAUUCGAUGCAACGCGAAGAACCUUACCUGGUCUUGACAUCCACGGAAGUUUUCAGAGAUGAGAAUGUGCCUUCGGGAACCGUGAGACAGGUGCUGCAUGGCUGUCGUCAGCUCGUGUUGUGAAAUGUUGGGUUAAGUCCCGCAACGAGCGCAACCCUUAUCCUUUGUUGCCAGCGGUCCGGCCGGGAACUCAAAGGAGACUGCCAGUGAUAAACUGGAGGAAGGUGGGGAUGACGUCAAGUCAUCAUGGCCCUUACGACCAGGGCUACACACGUGCUACAAUGGCGCAUACAAAGAGAAGCGACCUCGCGAGAGCAAGCGGACCUCAUAAAGUGCGUCGUAGUCCGGAUUGGAGUCUGCAACUCGACUCCAUGAAGUCGGAAUCGCUAGUAAUCGUGGAUCAGAAUGCCACGGUGAAUACGUUCCCGGGCCUUGUACACACCGCCCGUCACACCAUGGGAGUGGGUUGCAAAAGAAGUAGGUAGCUUAACCUUCGGGAGGGCGCUUACCACUUUGUGAUUCAUGACUGGGGUGAAGUCGUAACAAGGUAACCGUAGGGGAACCUGCGGUUGGAUCACCU